CAAUAGCGUAUAUUAAAGUUGUUGCAGUUAAAAAGCUCGUAGUUGGAUUUCUGGGAGGGUGCCAAUGUCCGUCAACGUGCGUGUGCAGCGGCGCCCUUCCAUCCUUCUGUUAACGCCUCUGGGCGUUUACUUGCCGGUGGCGGGCUCAGAUAUUUUACCUUGAGAAAAUUAGAGUGUUUCAGGCAGGCUAGGCCGGAAUACAUUAGCAUGGAAUAAUAGAAUAGGACUAUGGUCUCUUUGUUGGUUUGAGGGACUAUGGUAAUGAUUAAUAGGGAUAGUUGGGGGCAUUAGUAUUUAAUUGUCAGAGGUGGAAUUCUCAGAUUUGUUAAAGACUAACUUAUGCGAAAGCAUUUGCCAAGGAUGUUUUCAUUAA
rnacentral:rRNA from 1 species